ensembl:lncRNA
UACAUCACGCACAGCUCCGGCUACUACGGUGUAGCAGGGCUGCUCCCAGUUAUUUUUCUCUGCUAUAAAAUAUUAAUUUUCGCCUCGCCAGCAGACGUGGCACCAGGAGGUCGAGGGACGCUGCCUCCCGGGUGGACAUGUGCAGCUCCUGUUGACUGUAAUGGGAAUCAGUAGCAGCCCCAGGCUGAGCCGAGCUCCCGAAACAUAACAGUUAAAAUCUGCCACUGUUUCUGCGUUCGCAACAUCUCAUCCAAGAGCAGGACUGUCACACGUCCAGAUACACCUUCUUCUACCCAGAAACUUUGUGCUGUCCCAAAAGGAAGAAGGGUACAGACAUUGUGUAUUGCCUGCUGAAUCUGAGAAACCAAAGAGAAUCUGUUUAAACUGGAAUUCCCUACUGUGGAUAAGAAACAGUGGUUGUUGGUGAC